rnacentral:rRNA from 1 species
AUGGCUGCAGUUCGUCCCCAUCCCUUUCGCUCUAACCCCGCCAAAGCCGCCGCUCCUGCAGUCCUUCGGCGUCAUCCAAUCUCACGGCAGACUCCCGCGGUAGGAGAGGAGAGUAUGAACGAUGUUCCUUGCAGCGGCAGGGAUGAGGAGCCCUUUCUGUUUCCAUCUCCUUUCUUUCAUGGAUGUCGUGUCUUCUUUGCCCGUCAGAGCCCAGAUCUGUCUAUUGUUUGUACUGACGUCCUGACUGGUGGUGAUUCUGUUCAGGGAGAAGAAAAUAUACAAUUCAUUGUGGCACUGUUAACGCUAGCAUCAGGAGGUUGUUCAUGUCAUCAAAAUGUGCAACCAGAAUGA